GCUAAGAUAACUCAGUUGGUAGAGUGUCUGUCUGAAGAACAGAAGGUCAUAGGUUCAAUUCCUAUUCUUAGCACCA
rnacentral:tRNA from 1 species